CCGAAGCAUUAUGCGGGUCCGUGCUCUCUGCAACAACUGAAGGCUCUUGCACCGUGGACUGCUGGCCUUAGUGCCUUCUUGCUCCUCUCUCUCUCUCUCUCUCUCUCAUCUUCUCUGGUGGAAAGCUUCCGAUGUCCGUGGAAUGCGAAAGGGUGAUAAUAGGAAACUUGUUGCAGGAUCGCCGUAUCCCUGUUAGUUAAUAAGAGUUUUUGCAUAUGGAACUUCUCGGUCGUGAACUUGUUAACUAGUAUUUAGUGUAAUUGUCGUGGUUACCAUAUCCCUUUGCCCCCAUUUUCUAUGUUUUGGACAAAAGGCAUCAACCAAAAUUUAUGUGUCAGGAAAGAUGUCUGGCAUCAUCUACAUUGUUUCAAGCUGCCACGGCCAUCCAGAAUUCCUCACUUUCUGUUUUGCCAUUCAUCGUUUUCCCUCUCUAUUAUUGCUGUUUCCAUAGUUUUUCUUAUCCUCCGGACCACCUUUAGCCCCAGAGCCAAAGCCCUACUCACUGUUACACAGCUCCAUCUUGCACUCAAAUUGCUACGCAAGCUUCAACGACCCUUUUGAAGAAGCGACUGGGGAAGCACUGACGUGAUCCACUGGCUCAAAUUACCAGCCAAGAGCGGUUGAAGUGACCGAACAUUCCAAGCCCAGGGCUCCGUCAAUUAAGUGAUGGGGCUAUGAUCGAAGAAGGUGUUGAUGUUAUUUAUGUAAUGGGGGUUUGGGAUUUUCCCACAAAGAGCAUUUGGGAAAUAUAUAAAAGUAAAAAUUCAUUCUCUUGAUGGUUCCCUUCGAGAAUCUCGCCACCCCAUGGGGGAAAUACUUAGUAGCAUUCUGAAGAACAAUUCUUGAAGGUGGUUUCGUGAUUUCUGAUUGUGUUCCCUGUAAACUAGGAAUCCCCAUAAAAAGACAUGUAUAUCAAUUACUUAAUUACUUAUGAAUCAUAUAUUUUGUAGGGGGCCACAGCCAUCCCUCCUUAUUCGCCGCCGUGGCCCUUAUUGCCACUGCCUCCAUCAAUGGCCUCUUCCAAAGGCAAUGAAGAAUCUUCCCCACUGCCACCUCCGCCACAAGAUUCACCUAGGGGAAAUGUUUCUCUCCAGAAUAGACAUCCUUGUCUGGCAUGAAUGAGGAAUUCUGGGUGUUCCCCAAAUACAUCUCUAAUCCUCUCAAAAAAACCAUGUGGAUUAGUCUCUCCUGGUCUGAGGUAAAUUUGUUCAUUCCUAUCCAAACAUGUUGCAAUAUAUAGCCAUCUUUGUAUCUAUUCUUCAAUAUAGUUCCAUCAACAACUACAAUAAGUGAUAUUUCAGAAAACCCUUUGAUGUAUGCUCCAAUGAUCAUGAAAAAUUAUAAGAAUUUGUUACUGUCUCGUGGUUUCAAUAAGUUCCCUUGGUACUUGUCAGGGCAAUUUCUCUGGCCAUCUAAGCCUUCACAUAACCUAUGUUCUUUUUUUUUUUUUUUUUUUUUUCCUUCCAAUUUCCGUACUGCAACCAAACAUCAUGCAUGGUUUCCUUUGUUUUGUACUAACUUGUAAUCUAGCGUACUUUAACUUGAUAAUAUCUUCAAUAGUGUAACUAGUUGUUGGUCAAUAAUCAGGAUAAAUAAUAAAGAAAGCAAGUAUAAUUCUAUUGAAAUCUUUUAACGACAAAGAAAUCUGAAAAUGCAAGUAGUUGUCAUUUGUAAUUACCAGUCACCCAUCCAACCUUGUAAUGCAUGCAGUCUGACUUCGUUACCCUAAACUCAAAAUUUUUCUUCAUUGCAUGAAUUUGUCCUAUUUCAAUCACUUCACUAAUGUUUACUAAUAAUUUGUGCAUGGUGAUUGUUGGUGUUGAGGUGGCAGUGCAUAAGAAGUAGGAAUACUAGGCAUAGGCCUAAAAAACAUUAGUUUUUCCUCAGUAGGACUAUUUAAGAUGGCCCACCCGUUUUGUCACCAAACAUGAUACUGGACCUAAUAAAUCCAGUCUAAUGAGUUAUCCAGUGCAUCAAACAUACCUUUAAGCCAUGAUUGGGACAGAGGACCGUUUAGAAUUAGACCAAGAAUAAUCCCAACCAAGUGUUUGGUGACACAAUCCACAUGACAAGAGAUCUAGGAUUUGUGAGUGGUCUAGAAUCUUAGGGGUAAUCUAAUAAACAGCCAGCAUAGUCCCGUUCUAUGGGACAAGCUAGAGUAUUUCACAUACCGUUUGAAAGUCUAAUAUUUAUUUAAUUUUGUAAUGUUUUAUAAAAUCAAAAAUUUUAAAAUAUAUGGAGAUUGUGGAUGCUAUAUUCUAUAUAUGGAUACUAAAAAAUAUGGAAAAAAAAUGAAGUAUGAAAAAUAUAAAUCAUUGGUAGUAAAAAAAAAUAAAAAAAUAAAUGUAUAUAUAUUAAAAGAAACCCCAAAAUGUUUUGAUACUUAUCAUAAAUGUUUAAUAGUUAUGUUAUUUAAAAAAAAUACUACUUAAAGCAUUACUGUAAAUAAUAGUUGACUAUAAUCCUGCAUUUAGUACUAAACAAAUCCCAAUAAGAAUUUUGUAUGAGAUGCCACUUUGAUUGUGAGUGAACUUGGUAAUGGGAUCCAGUUUCCAUUUGGAUCAAUGUCUGUGAAUGUUCUCUCUUUAUAUUAGACCUUUUUCUUGAUGUUUGAUUAUUUCAUUCUAGUAUACAUCCUAUAUGAAGUGUAUGUUCAGCUUGUCCACUUGGAUAUGUGUAGUUUUAAAGCAUAGAAUGGGUUGAAAAGCCGGUACAGUUUGUAUUAACUCGAAGGAAAUGGUAACAUUUCUCAACUGCUUGGCUCGUAAUCAGAACAACUAUGGCAAGUUCAUGCGACAUGAAGAUCUGUUGAGUGCUUGCAUGGAUGCACGGUUAAACUUUUAGAUCUGCUUUUCUGGAAUCUGCUUCUUAUCUUUUUCUUCCCUUACACUUGUAAAUUUGUUUGGUGGUUUUAGUUUAUUAAAUGUUGUUUUAAGACUAUCCCUAAAGCUUGUGACUGCUUUGCAGUGUAGACCAACAAAAGGGUAGCAUUUAUUACCACCUGCAAAUGCUAAGCAGAGGAAGAAAGUAAAUUAAGGUUUUGUAGAAAACAUUUUUUAAGCUUUAAUGCAUUUAUUAAUUCUUUGGAUCAUCAUUAUGAAGGGCUUGCUUAGCAAGGAUAGUCAUUGUAUUCCACCGCUGAAAUUUAAGCAGGGAAGCAGAAGCAAGAGGUCUUCAAAUUCACUUUUGUGUAAUAAAGGUUCUCGGCACAUGUUGUUUUUCAUUUUGAAGAGAAAAAUGUUUUGGAUAUUUGUGGAACAAAUUUAUUGGAAGUUUCAUUUAGGAAAACCAGACUCUACCCUCUGUUGAUAGAAUGCAAGCUACGCUCUGUUGGUAGAAUGCAAGCCUUCUAAAAAUCUGUCUUACUUCUAAUAUCGUCUUUGUAGAAUACAGAAGAUAAUAAGGCCAACGUGAUUUUUAUAUUUUUAUCUUUU